UCCUCCCUCUUUCUUCGUGCUUAACACAUGCAAGUCGAACGGAAAGGCCCUGCUUUUGUGGGGUGCUCGUUUGGCGAACGGGUGAGUAACACGUGAGUAACCUGUCCUUGACUUUGGGAUAACUUCAGGAAACUGGGGCUAAUACCGGAUAGGAGCUCCUGCUGCAUGGUGGGGGGUGGAAAGUUUCGGCGGUUGGGGAUGGACUCGCGGCUUAUCAGCUUGUUGGUGGGGUAGUUGCUUACCAAGGCUUUGACGGGUAGCCGGCCUGAGCGGGUGACCGGCCACAAUGGGACUGAGAUACGGCCCAGACUCCUACGGGAGGCAGCAGUGGGGAAUAUUGCACAAUGGGCGGAAGCCUGAUGCAGCAACGCCGCGUGCGGGAUGACGGCCUUCGGGGUGUAAACCUCUUUCGCCUGUGACGACGCGUGAGUGACGGUAAUGGGUAAAGAAGCACCGGCUAACUACGUG
rnacentral:rRNA from 1 species